rnacentral:tRNA from 1 species
GCCCUGGUGGUAUAAUGGUUAAGCAUUCAGCUGCUAACUGAAAGGUUGGCGGUUCAAACCCACCCAGCAGCU